UAUUGCGCAAUGGCCGAAAGGCUGACGCAGCGACGCCGCGUGCGGGAGGAAGCCCUUCGGGGUGUAAACCGCUGUCAGGGGGGACGAACCGCCGGGGUGGGAAUACUGCUCCGGUCUGACGGUACCCCCAGAGGAAGCACCGGCUAACUCCGUGCCAGCAGCCGCGGUAAUACGGAGGGUGCGAGCGUUGUUCGGAAUUACUGGGCGUAAAGCGCGCGCAGGCGGAUGUGCAAGUCGAAGGUGAAAUCCCGGGGCUCAACCCUGGGACUGCUCUCGAUACUGCAUGUCUAGGGACCGGUAGAGGUCGGUGGAAUUCCCGGUGUAGCGGUGGAAUGCGUAGAUAUCGGGAGGAACACCUGUGGCGAAGGCGGCCGACUGGGCCGGAUCCGACGCUGAGGCGCGAAAGCGUGGGGAGCAAACAG
rnacentral:rRNA from 1 species